rnacentral:misc_RNA from 1 species
GAUGAAGAACGUAGCGAAACGCGAUAGUUAAUGUGAAUUGCAGAAUUCAGUGAAUCAUCGAGUCUUUGAACGCACAUUGCGCCCCUUGGUAUUCCGAGGGGCAUGCCUGUUCGAGCGUCAUUAUAACCCUCAAGCUCAGCUUGGUGUUGGGGCCUGCUGCACUGGCAGCCCUUAAAAUCAGUGGCGGCGCCAUCUGGCUCUAAGCGUAGUAAUUCUUCUCGCUAUGGAGUCCUGGUGGACGCUUGCCAUCAACCCCCAAUUUUUCUAUGGUUGACCUCGGAUCAGGUAGGGAUACCCGCUGAACUUAAGCAUAUCAAUAAGCGGAGGA